UGACCCUAAGGAUUUGGUGUUCACUUUGUUCAUGCCAGGGAGCAAAAGAAUGUUUCAGGUCAUGUGGUUCUUGAGCUUAUUUUCCUAACAGGCACUUUUUACCUCGAUGGAAAUGUGAGCAGCUGAUCAGACAAGGAGUCCUGGAGCACAUCCUGUCGUGACCAUGCACCGAGGCACUUCCAGGCUUCACUCAACUCAUGGACUCCUCUGCUUUGUUAUCUUUCCACGGUGCUGUGACAUUUUUCUCCUGCAGAAAGGAGAAGACAUGCCAGCUUUGGGAUGGCGGCUGCCCCGGGAAGAGGGAGGAGGCUGAGAACAGAACAGGCUCCCGCCCUCCACAGUGCUGUGGCAGGAUAUUAUUCUUACUAGAUAUGUUGAUGGGCACAUGGGUGUUUC
rnacentral:sRNA from 1 species